GUUGUUGAUAAUUAUACUCGUCGUCGGUUUAACUGACUGCCAAGCUGCGUUUCUGACAUGUCUUCAUCCGCGGACAGGAAGUUUAGACUUGUUCGACAACGAGAUAUACAUGUGCGCAGAAGGUAUAGUUGUACCAAAAACGACAACGAUACCAACGACAACCCUUCUUUCGUCGACAACCGACACACCUCAACCAAGCAACGCCAUUCUUCCGCCUUUUUUAAAGCGCAUGUGCGAACUUGGUAAAGAUCUGCCAGAAGGUUACAAGUGUUGUGGUUACAUUCCGUACCAACCGGAUUUUCAAACGUGUUGUGGAAUUACGUGGACGAAAACUGUGGUGCAUUCUGGAAAACCUG